UGCUGUGCUUUUGUUGCACAGGAUCACAUAUGUCCAGUCAACUCCUGGAGUUGCAGCUCCUUUGCCAUUGGGUUCAACACCUGCAGUCUCUUCCACCCACCAGACCCCAUCAUCUGCGGGUCCAUCUUUUUUGCGAUCUCCAGUGGCGACCCUUGGCUUCACUGCAAUUGCCCCAGCCAGUCAGGCCUUGGUUCAACCUAUUGUUGCAAGUCAGCCACCUCUCCUGGCUCAAUGCCCGCCCCCGAGUGGACUGGCACAACCUGCACAAGCCUCGACGGCCACUCGUCAACUUGUGACCACCAUUUACCCCAGCGUCAGUUUAGCCAGAGGAGUUGUGUCAGUGACAGCCGUGCCACAAAGCACAGCAAGUUCCACAUCAGUUCCAGCAUCAUCCUCAAUGCCUCAAGAGAAGACCCCCUCAGCCGCGGCUGCGCAACCACACGCGCAGCUGCAGUCUCAGGUAAACAUGCACAUGGAAAAUGAGAGAGGACCAGAAUCUAGGAAGGAGACGGAGAAACAGAGAGACCUGGUGGUGUCAAAGGAUGGACAUCAGACGCCACCUAGUGGUUUGGAGGAAUCGGUGCAGCACACACAUAAAGGUCAGCAUUGUGAAGGGAAGGAGGAUGGAAAGAAAGGGAGCAAAAUGGAGCGAGAGUCUGAGAGAGACGUAGGAGGGGACCCGUCUCAAACAGAGAGAGCUGAGAGAGCAAGAGCGAUGGAAGGGGAGACAGAGAGUCAAGCUGAGAUCAACAGCAAAGACGAGAGUCGAGAGGCAGGACGCAGGGAAGCUUCUGUUUUGGACCCCCCACCACCCCCUUUGCAGACUGACCCCCCUUCAGUUAAAAAGACCAAGUUCCGACCACCUCCACUGAAAAACACCACUGAUGCUGGUGACAAGUGAGUGGCAUUGCCCAUGAUCAGUCGAGAGCAGUUUUUAGUAUACCAUUUAUAGU
rnacentral:lncRNA from 1 species